GCUCGCUUUGGCAGCACAUACUAAAAUUGGAACGGUGCAGAGAAGAUUAGCAUGGCCCUGUGUAAGGAGGACCUGCAAACUUGGAAAGAGUUCCAGGCUUUC